rnacentral:sRNA from 1 species
UCACAUUAUUUACACUGCCUAUAACUGCAUCCCAUCAGAAGUUCCACUAUGGCGACACUUAACCAAAUCAACAUCCCCAAACUGUCAGAUUUGCCUAAGAGAGCUGUCCUCAAUCAAGAUGCUGAUGAAAAUGGAUGUGUUUUCCUGCCGUGGAAUCUCUCUGAAGAUGGAAAGUCUUAUCUCCCACCAUCAGCUAUUGUUGCCCUGGCUCUGAACGAAGUUGGACGUGCACUUGGGAUGGGCACAUUCACCUAUAUCCCCGCCUCUGUGCCCUUCAUGCCGCUCUGCAUCCCCGAAGUCUUCUUUACCAGUCGUAAGUGGACGGAGCAAGACAAACGAAACUGGGAUGACGCAUCCCACCCGCAAAAACUACAGAUAGUCUCCGAAGUUAGGAGCCAGGAGCUUGCUAUUCCAAUACGUGUUUUAGUCUAUGGCUACCCACAAGAAUACAUGUCAUUUGCGAAA